CGGUGCUGAAGCAACAAAUGCCCUGCUUCCAGGAAAAGCCUCUAAGCAUCAGGUAACAUCAAAUCGUACCCCAAACCGACACAGGUGGUCAGGUAGAGAAUACCAAGGCGCUUGAGAGAACUCGGGUGAAGGAACUAGGCAAAAUGGUGCCGUAACUUCGGGAGAAGGCACGCUGAUAUGUAGGUGAAGUCCCUCGCGGAUGGAGCUGAAAUCAGUCGAAGAUACCAGCUGGCUGCAACUGUUUAUUAAAAACACAGCACUGUGCAAACACGAAAGUGGACGUAUACGGUGUGACGCCUGCCCGGUGCCGGAAGGUUAAUUGAUGGGGUUAGCGCAAGCGAAGCUCUUGAUCGAAGCCCCGGUAAACGGCGGCCGUAACUAUAACGGUCCUAAGGUAGCGAAAUUCCUUGUCGGGUAAGUUCCGACCUGCACGAAUGGCGUAAUGAUGGCCAGGCUGUCUCCACCCGAGACUCAGUGAAAUUGAACUCGCUGUGAAGAUGCAGUGUACCCGCGGCAAGACGGAAAGACCCCGUGAACCUUUACUAUAGCUUGACACUGAACAUUGAGCCUUGAUGUGUAGGAUAGGUGGGAGGCUUUGAAGUGUGGACGCCAGUCUGCAUGGAGCCGACCUUGAAAUACCACCCUUUAAUGUUUGAUGUUCUAACGUUGACCCGUAAUCCGGGUUGCGGACAGUGUCUGGUGGGUAGUUUGACUGGGGCGGUCUCCUCCUAAAGAGUAACGGAGGAGCACGAAGGUUGGCUAAUCCUGGUCGGACAUCAGGAGGUUAGUGCAAUGGCAUAAGCCAGCUUGACUGCGAGCGUGACGGCGCGAGCAGGUGCGAAAGCAGGUCAUAGUGAUCCGGUGGUUCUGAAUGGAAGGGCCAUCGCUCAACGGAUAAAAGGUACUCCGGGGAUAACAGGCUGAUACCGCCCAAGAGUUCAUAUCGACGGCGGUGUUUGGCACCUCGAUGUCGGCUCAUCACAUCCUGGGGCUGAAGUAGGUCCCAAGGGUAUGGCUGUUCGCCAUUUAAAGUGGUACGCGAGCUGGGUUUAGAACGUCGUGAGACAGUUCGGUCCCUAUCUGCCGUGGGCGCUGGAGAACUGAGGGGGGCUGCUCCUAGUACGAGAGGACCGGAGUGGACGCAUCACUGGUGUUCGGGUUGUCAUGCCAAUGGCACUGCCCGGUAGCUAAAUGCGGAAGAGAUAAGUGCUGAAAGCAUCUAAGCACGAAACUUGCCCCGAGAUGAGUUCUCCCUGAC
rnacentral:rRNA from 1 species